AUUGAACGCUGGCGGCAGGCCUAACACAUGCCAGUCGAGCGGAGAGGCGGAAGGGUGAGUAAUGACUAGGAAUCUGCCUUGUAGUGGGGGAUAACGUCCGGCAACGGGCGCUAAUACCGCAUACUAUCAGAUGAGCCUAGGUGGGAUUAGCUAGUUGGUGGGGUAAAGGCCUACCAAGGCGACGAUCCGUAACUGGUCUGAGAGGAUGAUCAGUCACACGGGAACUGAGACACGGUCCAGACGCCUACGGGAGGCAGCAGUGGGGAAUAUUGGACAAUGGGCGAAAGCGUGAUCCAGCCAUGCCGCGUGUGUGAAGAAGGUCUUCGGAUUGUAAGGCACUUUAAGUUGGGAGGCGUUACCAACAGAAUAAGCACCGGCUAACUUCGUGCCAGCAGCCGCGGUAAUUC
rnacentral:rRNA from 1 species